rnacentral:rRNA from 1 species
AGGACGAACGCUGGCGGCGUGCUUAACACAUGCAAGUCGAGCGGAAAGGCCCUUCGGGGUACUCGAGCGGCGAACGGGUGAGUAACACGUGAGCAACCUGCCCUUAGCUCUGGGAUAGCUCCGGGAAACCGGAAUUAAUACCGGAUACGACCUAGGCCGACAUCGGCCAUGGUGGAAAGUUUUUCGGCUAGGGAUGGACUCGCGGCCUAUCAGCUAGUUGGUGGGGUAAAGGCCUACCAAGGCGACGACGGGUAGCCGGCCUGAGAGGGCGACCGGCCACACUGGGACUGAGACACGGCCCAGACUCCUACGGGAGGCAGCAGUGGGGAAUCUUGCGCAAUGGGCGAAAGCCUGACGCAGCGACGCCGCGUGGGGGAUGAAGGCCUUCGGGUUGUAAACCCCUUUCAGCAGGGACGAAGCGAAAGUGACGGUACCUGCAGAAGAAGCGCCGGCUAACUACGCGCCGAGCAGCCGC